rnacentral:tRNA from 1 species
UCCAGUGUAGCUUAGUGGUUUGAGUGUUGGACUGCAACUAUGGAGACCAGGGUUCGAAUGCCAGCUCAGCCA